CUCACCGAACUCAAACGGUCAACACUGCCUCCUCUGCGUGGCUGGCAGAAAUCAAUAAAUGCACUCGACAUUUUACAUGGAAGAAUACCAAUCAAAAGCAGCUAAGAUGGUUUGAGAAAGAAGAAAAUGGACAUGCUGCUUGCUCCUACAAAGCCGGGUUCUGUGAGUUUCAAAGAGGGGUUCAGAACAUCCCCUCCACCAUAUGAUGGGAUGCUGACUGCGGAGCACGGACCGUGUGCUGCCACCACGUGGAUUCUGCAAAGACAGACCGGCUUAGCCUUCCCAUCUAGAGCCAUCAACACCUCUGCUCUACGGAGUGGGAAACAGAGGCCCAGAGAGAAAAGCACAGUGAGGCCAGUGGAGGACUUCGAGCAGAAGAUAUGUCAUGUUGGCAUAAAAUUCUGUGGGCAAAGUGGUGUGAAAACACAAGGCAAAGGAGAAAACAUUUAAGCCUGUUAAAAAAUAGUCUCUUAAAAAUUGUUGAUGAUUAAAUGACCAUUAUAUUUAGAUUUCGUUGGAUUCAUUUAAAAGACUGACCAGCCUGGCCAACAUGGUGA